rnacentral:lncRNA from 1 species
UACAAUACCACGAAAUCAAAUCCACAAAAAUAAAUGAAUCAACUUUGUUUCAUUUCAAACUAAAAAAUGUGUCUCAAUUAUUCAAUGAAAUUUGGUCACUUACCAUUAAGUUAACAUUUAGCAAUCUAUAACAAACAAAAUAAAGAAAUAUCUUGUCAAGACAUACUAUAGCAGGGAGAAAAAACGAUAACGCCAAGUUUCCUUUUCAGUACAUAUAUAUUUGUACUCCAUAUAUGUACAGAGUUAUGACAAUCCUUCAAGCUAAUCCGGAAUAAACUUCCCAUGUCGACGUUUCUGUAUGUCGGAAGUAAAACAAUCUAAGCAUUGCCCGUUUGUCUCACUUCUACCUACAUUUUUUACAACCAUCACGAACACAAACACUUCCAAGUCGAAUCAGGGGCCGAUUAAAAGUAUUAUCAGUACAUGAGCGUUUAAUUCUCAUAAUACACAAAUCGUCGUCGUCCUCUUCUUUGGCCACUGUUGUUACUUGAAUAACAUUAAGUUUUGUCGGUAUAAUCACUGAUUUGGUCUUAUUCGAACAACGUUCUUUGUCAAAUUGUUUAUGUUCAUCUGUAAAAUAAAAA